UACGGAGGGAGCUAGCGUUGUUCGGAAAUACUGGGCGUAAAGCGCACGUAGCGGCGCCGUAAGUCAGGGGUGAAAUCCCGGGGCUCAACCCCGGAACUGCCCUUGAAACUGCAGUCGCUAGAAUCUUGGAGGAGGCGAGUGGAAUUCCGAGUGUAGAGGUGAAAUUCGUAGAUAUUCGGAAGAACACCAGUGGCGAAGGACG
rnacentral:rRNA from 1 species